GGCAUUCUUGACCAAGGUGAAGGAGUGCUCAUCAUAUUCGAAGAGCCCCCUGUGGACAAAACUUACGAGGCAGCUCUAGAAACCAUACAGAACAUGAGCAAAGUUGUGGAUUCACUGUACAACAAGGCUAAGAAGUUAACAUAGAGUAAGCGUCAGAGGCUGCUACUGUGUGAAAUGGUUGUAUGCGUGUGAGUUUGCCUGUGUGUAUGCGUGUAUGGCCAACAUGUGGAACUUUUUUCUCACAGCAAAAAGGGACAACACUGAGCAAGAUCUACUUGUUCCCCAGUUGAGAGUUUUUAAUGUUUUCUUUCAAAUGGACAAUUUCAUCUUUCUGAUCCUCUGAAUUUUUGUUCUUCUCUGUAUCUCUCAACAGCCAACACAGGCCAUCAGGGAAUGUUGUACAACUACAAUAAAAUCCUAAAAUGUCAUAUAGAACUGUAUAGCUCUUCUACAUUGAAAGUUUUUUAAUUACAGCAACUUUGUGAUACAGACUCUUGGGUUUCGGUUAU